GAUGAACGCUAGCUACAGGCUUAACACAUGCAAGUCGAGGGACCGGCGCACGGGUGAGUUAAACGUAUCUAACCUGCCCUUUACACGGUGAUAGCCUUGCGAAAGAAAGAUUAAUACACAAUAUACAGGCUGGGGAUGCUUUUCAGUAGGUUGUUGGUGAGGAAACGGCCCACCAAGCUUUCGAUGGAUAGGGGUUCUGAGAGGAAGGCCCCCCACAUUGGAACUGAGACACGGUCCAAACUCCGACGGGAGGCAGCAGUGAGGAAUAUUGGUAAAUGGGCGCUAGCCUGAACCAGCCAAGUAGCGUGAAGGAUGAAGGCUUAUGGGUCGUAAACUUCUUUUAUAUAAGAAUAUGUAUUAUAUGAAUAAGGAUCGGCUAACUCCGUGCCAGCAGCCGCGGUAAUAC
rnacentral:rRNA from 1 species